ensembl:lincRNA
CUGCAUACCUUGUGUUUAUUUUCUCUAAUUUUUUUCUUAUUUCCCAUUGAUCUAUUUGAUCUGGGAAUGCCUGUUGAUAACUGUGCUCUGAAUUACGUUUACAGGUGAUUGGAGACCUAUACUCCCAAUUUGAUGGAUCUGAAAUAGUGCUGCUGACUAAUGGGGAGGAUAACACUGCAAAUUCUUGUACUGAUGAAGUAAAACAAAGUGGGUCCAUUGUUCAUUUUAUCACUUUGGGAAAAGAUGCUGAUGAAGCAGUAAUAGCGAUGAGCAAUGUAACAGGAGGAAGUCAUUUUUAUGCUUCAGAUGAAGCCCAGAACAAUGGCCUCAUUGAUGCUUUUGGGGCCCUUACAUCAGGAAAUGCUGAUAUCUCCAGAAGUCCCUUCAGCUGGAAAGUAAGGGAUUAACACUGAGCAGUAAUGCCUGGAUGAAUGACACUGUCAUAAUUGAUAGCACAGUGGGAAAGGACACAUUCUUUCUCAUCACAUGGGAAAGCCUGCCUCCCAGUAUUUCUCUCUGGGAUCCCAGUGGAAUGAUAAUGGGAAAUUUCACAGUGGAUGCAGCUUCCAAAAUAGCCUAUCUCAGUAUUCCAGGAACUGCAAAGGCGCUGAUUCUUUCAAGAAUGAUGGGGUCUACUCCAGAUAUUUUACAGCAUAUACAGAAAAUGGCAGAUACAGCUUAAAAGUACGGGCUCAUGGAGUAACAAACACUGCCAGGCUAAACUUGCGGGAUCCACUGAGUAGAGCUGCAUACAUACCAGGCUGGGUAGUAAACGGUGAGUAUUCAUGAUAUUUAUAAUCCAGUGAUAGUUUGAAUAAUAUUGUGAUUUGAUAUAAUGAAGGCUUCAGUCUGUUUCCCUAGUGGAAUAAACUUUAUUCCUGAUGGAAUAAAUUUCUCAGUCAGACUAGGAUUUGCCUCUAAAUUAGUCUAAGCUUUGGUGUAAUGUCUGGCACCUAGUAAGCACUCAAGCACUCAAAAAAGGUCAGUUAUUAUUUUUUGAUCUUUCAAUUUAGGUUUGGGGGUACAUGUGCAGGUUGGUUAUAUAGGUAAAUUCGUUUCAUGGGGGUUUGUUGUACAGAUUAUUUCAUUACCCAGGUACUAAAGCUAGUACUCAAUAGUUAUUUUUUCUGCUCCUCUCCCCCCUCCCCACCUCUGCCCUCAAGCAGGCCCCAGUGUCUGUUGUUACCCGCUUUGUGUCCAUGAAUUCUCAUCAUCUAGCUUCCACUUAUAAAUGAGAAUAUGCAGUAUUUUGGUUUUUUGUUCCUGCAUUAGUUUGCUGAGGAUAAUGCCCUCCAGCUCCAUCCAUGUUCCUGCAAAAGACAUGAUCUCAUUCAAAAACAUCAGUUGUUGUUAUGUGAGUUUGGAACAUCUUAUGUAUAUCAACAGUAAUAUGCCCAAUUUUUAGCUCAAGAUGAAGGAAACAGACCAAUUUAUGAGUCUAAGCACAAGCCAGUGCAGAAUUUAUCCUUCAGAUUAUGUAUGCUAUAAGAGUAAACAUUUAUUUGGAUUUUAUUAAGUCAAAAAGAAAAAAUAUGUACAGUAAAGUGAUAUAAGAAUUAAGAAUGCAUAAUUUGCUAGCUGUUAUUUAGUCCCUUAUCACUCUUAGGGGUUUUCUACUAGCAAUUGAAAUACAAUCAGAAGAAUUAUUCCUUAGCACUUGCAGCAUGGAGAGAGGGUCUUAGCACAAUUGGGUGGAGAAGAACUGGCAAUGAUUUUUCCAGGUAUAUUCUCAGAGAGCAGAUAAUUCAAGAAGUAAAGCAAUUCCUUUUUUAAAAAAGGCACAUAUUAAAUUAUAUAAUAUUAGUCUCAUCCAGUGUAGCCCUAAUUCUAAAGCAAUAUAUUAUCUUAUUCUGUCCUACAAUGUCCAAGCAAAGAUUCUCUCACCAAUUGGAUGCUUAUGAUUGUCACAAAACUUAGUAAAAAUGUGACUGUAUAUAUUUUUUAAAAAGGAAAAGACAAGUGGGGUAGAGAAGGUGAUUCACUGAAUUCUAAAAAAUACCAGCAGUUUUGCCCAUCAUAAACCAGGAAAUGUGUAAUGCAGGGGAAAUUGAAGCAAACCCACCAAGACCUGAAAAUAAUGAGGAUACUCAGGCCACCUUGGAGAAUUUCAGCCGAACAGCGUCCGGAGGUGCAUUUGUGGUAUCACAAGUCCCAAGCCUUCCCUUGCCUGACCUAUACCCCCCAAGUCAAAUCACAGACCUUGAUGCCACACCUCAUGAAGGUGAGAUUGUUCUUACAUGGACAGCACCAGGAGAUGAUUUUGAUGUUGGAAAAGGUAAGGACGAAGUGUAAUGUGAUUUUGACUUAAGUGAAAAGUGCUAAUUGCAAAAACAAGGGUGUAAGAGUGGGUGAGGGGAGAAUGGUUUUAAAUUGAUAGCUUAGCGAAGCAUUAAUUUUAUAAUCUGAUAUUUUUCAAUCAAUCAAGUGACACAUUUUAACAUGGUCCUACUUUUUACACAGAGAAGAUAGCAGUUUGCAGAGCUUAAGAUCAGAAUUCGGCUUUUAUUAAAAAAUGAGUAAGGCUUUUGAUAUGAGUACAUGUUUUGCAUAACUAGACAUUUUUGAGAAUAAAUAAAAAGAAAUAAAUAUGCUGCACUCCAGUCUCUAAACUCUUGUAACUUUUUUUUCUUAGUUGAACAUUAUAUCAUAAGAAUAAGUGGAAGUAUCCUUGAUCUAAGAGACAGUUUUGAUGAUGCUCUUCAAGUAAAUACUACUGAUCUGUCACCAAAGGAGGCCAACUCCAAGGAAAUCUUUGCAUUUAAACCAGGAAAUAUCUCAGAAGAAAAUGCAACCCACAUAUUUAUUGCCAUUAAAAGUAUAGAUAAAAGCAAUUUGACAUCGAAAGUCUCCAAUAUUGCUCAAGUAGCUUUGUUUAUCCCUCAAGCAAAUCCUGAUGAAAAUUAUACUACUCCUACUCCAGACAAAAAUUAUACUACUCCUACUCCAGAUAAAAAUUAUACUACUGCUAUUCCUGAUAAAAAUCAUCAUUCUGGAGUUAAUAUUUCUACCCUGGUAUUGUCUGUGGUUGGGUCUGUUGUAAUUCUUAGCAUUAUUUUAAGUACCACCAUUUGAAUCUUAACAAGGGAAAAAUCUACAAGUAGACCUAGAACAGGGUUUUAGAAAACAAAACAGGAUAAGUAAAAGGUAUUUCUGAAUCUCAAAAUUCAUCCCGUGUGUGAUCAUAAACUCACAAAAAUAAUUUUAAAUGUCUAAAAUAAUUUUUAAGGAUACUUGGAUUAAAUAAAACAUCCAUGGAUAUGUAAAGAACUGUGUGAAAAUUUAAAUUUAAUAAUUGUACUUAUUUGUUAUUUUAUUUGUAAGAAAUAGAGAUGAACAAAAACCCUUUUUCAUACUCAUUCCUGGUUGUAUAUUAUUUGAUACAAAAGUUUUCUGAAAUGAUAUUUCAAAUUUCAUCAAGAAAUGUAAAGGAUCUAUUUGAGUAGUCAAAAUACAAUUAAAGGA